AUGACAGUCUCAAAAUGUAUUUGUUUUGAUGGCCUUGAAGCUAGCGUUGUAUAUUUUGAAGAAUGUCUCUCAGUUGGAUUGUCUGAUGUUUUUCCCACGAUUAGACUGGAUGACGGGUUUUGGGGAGGAAGACCACAAAGGAAAUUGAAAGACGAUACAUGAAGUGUCUUCAGGUUUCCACGGAAAUGGAAUUAAAUGAGAAACAUGUGGCACUUUCUGAUGGAUACAGAUCAUCCUGAAAUCACUUCACAUCUGCUGGCUAAAUAGAGAAAUAACUAUAAAUCUUUUCAAAAACAAAGGAAAGAAAAAUGUAGGAAAUACAUCAAGUAAUACCUUUAUGGCACCAUUCCUAUGACUCUAUAAAGAGGGUUAUUUAUAAUGGUGGAAUUAUUUGUCACACAUCAUAUAAAAAAAGAAAAUUAAAAUUAUCGAUGGGUUAUAAUGGUAAACAUGAUCUUGUAAACUCUAAAUAUUUCACCUUACUAGAUGUACACCUUAGUUUUCAUUUUUAGCAACAUUUUAAAAAGUAGAGAUGUAUGAAUAUUCAGCAUGGUUUAAUCUGAGAUCAUUUGAAUAUUUUUAAAACAAUCCUUAGUAAAAAUUUAAAUAAGUUUAUCUUGUCCUCAUGUUUGUGUGUGUGCCUAUAGGGCUAUUCUGAAGUAAUGUUAAUGGUGAAAAAUGUAUGCUAUGGAAUAAAUUCUUUAUAACUGUA
rnacentral:lncRNA from 1 species